rnacentral:rRNA from 1 species
CCUACGGGAGGCAGCAGUGAGGAAUAUUGGUCAAUGGACGAGAGUCUGAACCAGCCAAGUAGCGUGAAGGAUGACUGCCCUCUGGGUUGUAAACUUCUUUUAUAAAGGAAUAAAACGAGGCACGUGUGCCUUUUUGCAUGUACUUUAUGAAUCCGGAUCGGCUAACUCCGGUCCAGCAGCCGCGGUAAUACGGAUGAUCCGAGCGUUAUCCGGAUUUAUUGGGUUUAACGGGAGGGCAGGCGGAGGCACCAGUCAGCGGUAAAAUCGCGGGGCUCAACCCCGCUCCGCCGUUGAAACUGUGGCACUUGAGUGCGCGAAGGGUAGGCGGAAUGCGUGGUGUAGCGGUGAAAUGCAUAGAUAUCACGCAGAACUCCGAUCGCGAAGGCAGCCUACCGGCGCGCAACUGACGCUCAUGCACGAAAGCGUGGGUAUCGAACAGGAUUAGAUACCCGUGUAGUC